GAUGAACGCUGGCGGUCUGCUUAACACAUGCAAGUCGAACGAACUCUUCGGAGUGAGUGGCGGACGGGUGAGUAACGCGUGAGAAUCUGCCUGUGGGUCGGGGACAACCACUGGAAACGGUGGCUAAUACCGGAUGAGCCGAAAGGUAAAAGUAUUUAUCGCCCACAGAUGAGCUCGCGUCUGAUUAGCUUAGGUUAGGUAAAGGUAAAAGCCGUAACCGAAGGCGACGAUCAGUAGCGUGGUCUGAGAGGAUGAGCAGCCACAC
rnacentral:rRNA from 1 species